GAUGUACGCUGGCGGCGUGCUUAACACAUGCAAGUCGAACGAUGAAGCCCAGCUUGCUGGGUGGAUUAGUGGCGAACGGGUGAGUAACACGUGAGUAACCUGCCCUUGACUCUGGGAUAAGCCUGGGAAACUGGGUCUAAUACCGGAUAGGAACGUCCACCGCAUGGUGGGUGUUGGAAAGAUUUAUCGGUCAUGGAUGGACUCGCGGCCUAUCAGCUUGUUGGUGAGGUAAUGGCUCACCAAGGCGACGACGGGUAGCCGGCCUGAGAGGGUGACCGGCCACACUGGGACUGAGACACGGCCCAGACUCCUACGGGAGGCAGCAGUGGGGAAUAUUGCACAAUGGGCGAAAGCCUGAUGCAGCGACGCCGCGUGAGGGAUGACGGCCUUCGGGUUGUAAACCUCUUUCAGUAGGGAAGAAGCGAAAGUGACGGUACCUGCAGAAGAAGCACCGGCUAACUACGUG
rnacentral:rRNA from 1 species